rnacentral:rRNA from 1 species
UGUGACUGCGUACCUUUUGUAUAAUGGGUCAGCGACUUAUAUUCUGUAGCAAGGUUAACCGUAUAGGGGAGCCGUAGGGAAACCGAGUCUUAACCGGGCGUUAAGUUGCAGGGUAUAGACCCGAAACCCGGUGAUCUAGCCAUGGGCAGGUUGAAGGUUGGGUAACACUAACUGGAGGACCGAACCGACUAAUGUUGAAAAAUUAGCGGAUGACCUGUGGCUGGGGGUGAAAGGCCAAUCAAACCGGGAGAUAGCUGGUUCUCCCCGAAAGCUAUUUAGGUAGCGCCUCGUGAAUUCAUCUCCGGGGGUAGAGCACUGUUUCGGCUAGGGGGCCAUCCCGGCUUACCAACCCGAUGCAAACUGCGAAUACCGGAGAAUGUUAUCACGGGAGACACACGGCGGGUGCUAACGUCCGUCGUGAAGAGGGAAACAACCCAGACCGCCAGCUAAGGUCCCAAAGUCAUGGUUAAGUGGGAAACGAUGUGGGAAGGCCCAGACAGCCAGGAUGUUGGCUUAGAAGCAGCCAUCAUUUAAAGAAAGCGUAAUAGCUCACUGGUCGAGUCGGCCUGCGCGGAAGAUGUAACGGGGCUAAACCAUGCACCGAAGCUGCGGCAGCGAACGUAUCACCCAAGACAACUUUACGGAGUUGACGAUUGACGGAGCGAAGCGACGUCAAAGCGUUCAUUAAAGUCGAGUUGGCUUAGGGAUACGUUCGUUGGGUAGGGGAGCGUUCUGUAAGCCUGUGAAGGUGUGUCGUGAGGC